UCGUAACCCCUAUCUUUUGUUGCCAGCACGUCAAGGUGGGAACUCAAAAGAGACUGCCGCGGACAACGCGGAGGAAGGCGGGGAUGACGUCAAGUCAUCAUGCCCCUUAUGUCCUGGGCUACACACGUACUACAAUGGGAUGGACAGAGAGCAGCGAACCCGUGAGGGCAAGCGAACCCCAUAAACCAUCUCCCANUUCGGAUUGCANGCUGCAACUCGCCUGCAUGAAGUCGGAAUCGCUAGUAAUCGCAGGUCACCAUACUGCGGUGAAUACGUCCCGGGCCUUGUUCACACCGCCCGUCNUACCACGGANUUCCNUUCACNUCCACANCCCGGNUGGGGUUNACCUUCNGNNANCCNCCCGUCCUNUNGUGGGGGGGCGAUNUAACUGGGGGUGA
rnacentral:rRNA from 1 species